AAGUCGUAACAAGGUUUCCGUAGGUGAACCUGCGGAAGGAUCAUUAAUGAAAAACAAGUCUCAUCGAGCGCUUGGUCUGGGAUUGCUGCUGGCCUUCAUCGGCACGUGCACGUCUCUGCCUCGCGCUUGUGGGGCUCAACCUUCAUCCACCUGUGCACCCUCGUAGGUCUGGAUACCUCUCGCAGAUUGACUUCUGCGGAUUGGAAGGUGCGCUUCACUGCGCUCCCUCUGCUGUCCAGGCCUAUGUCAUUUAUACUCUUGUGUAUGUCUUGCAUGUCUUGUUUACUGGACCUAGUCCUUUAAAACUAAAUACAACUUUCAACAACGGAUCUCUUGGCUCUC
rnacentral:misc_RNA from 1 species